rnacentral:rRNA from 1 species
AGCGAACGCUGGCGGCAGGCUUAACACAUGCAAGUCGAGCGGGCGUAGCAAUACGUCAGCGGCAGACGGGUGAGUAACGCGUGGGAACGUACCUUUUGGUUCGGAACAACACAGGGAAACUUGUGCUAAUACCGGAUAAGCCCUUACGGGAAGAUUUAUCGCCGAAAGAUCGGCCCGCGUCUGAUUAGCUAGUUGGAGGGUAAUGGCCCACCAAGGCGACGAUCAGUAGCUGGUCNGAGAGGAUGAUCAGCCACAUUGGGACUGAGACACGGGCCCAAACUCCUACGGGAGGCAGCAGGUGGGGAAUAUUGGACAAUGGGCGCAAGCCUGAUCCAGCCAUGCCGCGUGAGUGAUGAAGGCCCUA